CCUACGGGUGGCAGCAGUGAGGAAUAUUGGUCAAUGGCCGGAAGGCUGAACCAGCCAUGCCGCGUGAAGGUCAGUGCCCUAUGGGCGUUAAACUUCUUUUGUGCGGGAGCAAUAAUGGUCACGUGUGGCCAGACGAGAGUACCGUACGAAUAAGCAUCGGCUAACUCCGUGCCAGCAGCCGCGGUAAUACGGGGGAUGCAAGCGUUAUCCGGGUUUAUUGGGUUUAAAGGGUGAGUAGGCUGUGAGGUAAGUCAGCGGUGAAAUGCCCCGGGUCAACGGGGUGAAGUGCCAUUGAUACUGGCUGGCUGGAAUGCGGAUGCCGUGGGAGGAAUGUGUGGUGUAGCGGUGAAAUGCAUAGAUAUCACACAGAACACCGAUUGCGAAGGCAUCUCACGAAUCCGCGAUUGACGCUGAUGCACGAAAGCGUGGGUAUCAAACAGGAUUAGAUACCCGAGUAGUC
rnacentral:rRNA from 1 species